UGGGGUAUCGCCAAGUGGUAAGGCAACGGAUUCUGAUUCCGUCAUCCGCAGGUUCGAAUCCUGCUACCCUAGCCA
rnacentral:tRNA from 2 species